ACCUGGCUACCUCAGUCGGUAGAGCAUGAGCCUCUUAAUCUCAAGGUUGUAGGUUCAAGCCCCACGUUGGGUA